rnacentral:lncRNA from 1 species
UCACAACAUGGCCAGAAGGGACAAAACCUUCAAACCUGACAAAGACCUGAAGACAAUCAGGCAUCAGGGACUAUACUACUUCUGCCAAAAGGCAGGGAAGGUUUCACAUUCAGAAGAUAGACCUCAACAAAAGUUACAUAACCUUCACCAAGAUAAGAUCGAAGGUAUCCUGCUACUCCAAGCAGGCCUCUAACGCACAAAGUGUGAAAAUAAAGCAAACCUUACGAUAAUCCUCAGUCAGGUAAAGUAUGACCAACUACUACAACAAUCACAACAACCAUCCAUAACUCGAUAAUAACUUCUAACCUAACAAAGUACAUGCGAUAAAUGCAUGAAACCCUAUAAAACCAGGCACACCAGGCCCCCCACCCUCAGUCAGGAUCAGUAUACACAGACCCAAGCAGCCAGUGCAAGCCUAGCAGUCACAAAGGAAAAAAACCUAGGCACCAAAAGUUGCUAUUGCACGAAGCUUUGUAAUGCUAGAACCGCGACGUUGUGAUGAACAUCGACCACAGAGUCGUGUACAGCCACAACAAAAGCACUGCAAGUUAGAAUCGGAGGUCUCUGAAGGGUAUCACACGAAGUAUCGUAACAUCCCUUCAGAACCUACUACUCACAUACCCGAAGGUUCCCCUCGACAACACUCCACGGGAGUUGAGCAAAGGCAAAUAUGAGCACAAUUCAGCAGAGGCUCCUUCGCACCAAGAAAAGCGAAGGUUCCAAGGUCAAGGAGCAGCAAUCCUGCGCACGCGAAACGGCCACCAACGCCUUCGCAACAUCAAACAUCAAGAUUGCACGCGCCACAGCAAGACAAAGAUCCUUAGGAUCAACACCACCGUGACGUUGCAAUGUACAAUCGUUGCGUAGAAAAGCGCGAAGGUUGUAAUAGAAAUACAGCUAAGAGUGCGAAGACUGUAACCAAAGUAAUGAUAAAAACAUCUGAUCUUUAUUAACGAUAAACAACUUACAGAACAAUAGUUUUAACAUCCUUCGACCGUCCAAAGUCGAAGGUUCUAAGACUCCCGCACAAUUCUUACAUAUGAAUCCGGCACAAGCCUAAACUCAUCGCAGUAAUCACGAGCAAGAAAAUCAACUAAUUUGUCAAUAUUACGCGUAGGAAACUUAUGGCGCCACCAGUCAAUCAGAUAACCCCUCGCGUACAAAUCUCCGCGCUUGAACGUCACCGGGGUAACGUAGCUUCCUUCGACAAAAUUCGAAAGAAGAACAUCCCCUGGAGCAGAUCUGACAACCUGCGCAAAAAACAAACAAUUUCAAACCCUACCCAAGCGAAGGCUACAACUAAGACGUAUGACGAAGCUUUCGAACCUCUGGACGCCCAGGAAGAAAAUGCUCAGCCAAACCCUCAGGAUCCUCUAAAAGCCAACAUAUACCAUCCUCCUCGCCAAAGAUGCGCAGGAUUGGAUACGAUAACUGCAUAAACACAUCAAACCAAGUCAUAAAAAACAAAACAUAUAGCCUAAAACAAAGAAAAAACAAAACAAAAACAACCACCUAAGCCGGAGGCCAUGAACCUCGGCACGCAAGCGACCGGAUGAAUUCAGAUCGUUCGUCAUCAAGAUCAUAACCAACAAACUCAAACAUAUCCACUACUCUCAUGUUAGGGAAGGCAAUCCGCCAGUAUUCCCACAACUCGCCAGAAGCAUAAAUCCCAUUGUAGAAAAUUGAAAGGGGAGUAUCGCAAUGAUCCUGCGUAGGUCCUCUGCUAGAGACCUGUGCAGGAUCAAAGUGUAAAACAAAGGUUUAUCCAAAAACAACCCAAUAUAUUACAUUUCAUAUAAAGUCUUUACAAGUUAAUCAAAACCUCCGACAUUUCUUACAAAAAAGCAUCACAUGCACAGCAGACGCAAAAAACUAAAAAAUCUACAAACUAAAAAGCCUCACACCUAAGGCGGAGGAGGAGCAGGAGCUUCAGGAUGCUCUGAAGCCUUGGCACCAGAUUCCUCCGGAGCCUUAGCACCUGCGACGCGAACCUCCGCUUCAGCCUUCGUCGAAGGACGCGCUUCGCUAGGGGGACGUGAGGGACCGGCCUUGUCAGCCUCAGCCUUCUUCUUGGCAAUCUCCUGCAAAACAUCAAGCUUAAGAAACACUGCAAAGUAGCAAAACAGAAUGCAAAAGAAUAACAAAAUCACACAUACUUCAGCGCGAUGAGCCUCCGCCAUCUUCUUCGCCUCAGCCCGCCCAAACCUAAUCCAGAACGAACUGAUAAAGUUCCGGACAGAUUUGCGCAGGCUAGAGGUGCCUUCGCCAACGUCCUCCGCCGCCGCAAAUUCCUCCUUGGCAACUUCCUCCGCGUGAGAGCAACCCCCACGGCGCAAAAGCCUGGCGAAGGAGCUAACCGCAGCCAAAACCCCAAAAUCAACAGCUCCGCCGACA